UUUCGUAUUUUACUAUAUUUCAUUUUUAUUAAGCUCAUAAAAAUGAUGAUAAAAGAUAAAUAUUUAAAUAAUUAUGAUAAUAUCAAAAACAAUGAUACGAUUCAAUCAACAAUUACUGACAAACAACGCGCAAACCAUUACGAUCAGAACAAUUGUAGAAUCUUCCAAUUUGUAGAAUCAAAAUUCAAUUGCAAAACAAUUUAGAAGAUUUGAAUAGUAUUAACGAAUAGCAUGAUCAUCAUUGGAAAUAAUGAAACGACAUAAACAGUACAAUAACGCACACGCAACGAAAGCAUUAUACUCAAAUGUCCACAAUUGAUAUACAUAAUACCAAAUGAUUCAUCAUAAAUAAUCAACCGUAAUACUAUAAAGUUUGCGUGAAAAACACAAAACAAUGAAAUAUAAACAAGAAACUAAAUUCAGAACACAGAAUGUACUAACACAUACACGCACGUGCACAUAUAGAUGAUCAUCACAAGCACACGUGAGAACAAUUGUAAGAUGGCUCCAUCAAAUCUUCUUGAUAUUGAAACGAAAAGUCGGCGGAAUUUCUGACAAUUUACAUACCACUGUUGGUAUCCAAUCCGCAGUUGCAUCGCGAGUUGGACAACAAUCGUUUAACAAUACGUGAAAAACAAUAGAAAAACGAUUAAACUGAAAUCGCGGCAGAGAAAAGGUAACCGCGGCGACACGGCGGCCAUGUUGAUUUCUCGCCCCACCCGAUUGGUCGCGGCCGCUUAGAGUAUACACGAUCGUUGCGCCACAUCGUGGAAAGGAACGCCGUCCACAGUUACAGGCUCGCGCGUUCUGGCAUCGACCGGUUUUCAUAUUCGUGUACUGUGCUAGACUCCCAUCCCAGCAUGCUCUUCCUUGGAUUCUGGCGAGUCGCCAUAUUGCCAUGACACAAGUUUGAGUCAAAUCUGCGCAGGUCAGAUGCCGCGGAAGCUACCUUUGCCUCGGAUACACCCACGUCGCGUAUUUAAGAAUUAAAUUUACCUUGCCAAUAUAUUUUUCUAUGAUCGAUUCGUCACCUGACGGAGCUUUAAGUGCGUGAUUACUAAUAUAUCGAGUGCUACAUGUACAUUUAGCUUGGGAAUGUUUUAUUCUUCGAAGGAAAGCACGUGGAUGCGUGAUUCUAGAGACCCGAAUGUUUUUUGAGCGAACAGUACGCAGAAGCGGCGGGCGUGGAGAAGGGAAAAGGGCGUAGUAAGUCAUACGGAGAGGCUCGUACGUCAUCCUCCAUCCGGGCCAACGGAGCAACACAUGGAAAGGGUCUGUGGAGCCUCCAUACCCGAUGAACGCACCUACUUGGCUUGCCUCUUUAGGUCGCUGUAGGAGAGGCUGAACCACUUGGUCACGGGCGUGCAAUACGCACGCCUAUAUUCGACGCAACUUUACCGAUCCGAUCUUUUCAAUUUUCCAAUUGUAAAUUAGAGUCUUAAAUGAUUCGUAAAGAAAUCAUCGUCGAUUGUGUGCUCGGCGGAAACAAUGCAAAACAUCGACCAGAUAUCUCUUAACAAGAUGGAAAGUUCUCUCAGCCAUGUUUGUCAGCCAUUGAGGUAUAAGAAAUUAGAUAUAUCCAUACUUGCGAUCUUGUCUUCGUACUUGUUCGAUUAUUAAUUAUUAAUUAUUUUUCAGAAUCGUGUCCAUGGAAGAGGUUAGAAAACAAUGGCGAGAAAUGAAAAGAAAGUGAUGAGAAAACAGGUAGGCGAUGCGAGUCGAUGUAUUAUUUACGAAACGAUUAUGUAACAAACUAUCACGGAUAAUUAGCGAGUCGCGUGAAACGAAUCCGUAAAAACCGUCGGCCCAUAAAUGAUUUGUACGAUGAACUUCCCUCGUGUUUCUGUUCCAGCAAAACAUUUCUACCACACACGAAGACGCGGAACGAUCUUGGUCGAUACACACGAAGAUAUGUGCUCUGUAUUACCGACGAACCUCGCAGCGACGAUAGCGCGUUGUUCCUAGCUGGUUUAUAUUGAACGAGGUUGCUCCCCGAGGUACGUAACACCUACUGGCAACGGUCGUAUCGUCGAGUAGCACCAUACUCGUUUUCAACUCGAGUAAGAGAGAGAAAGGAGGAAUAUAGAAGAGCGAGAUAGUGCAAGCCGGGUGAAACCACGUGGCUUUUACGCGGGAAUCUCACUGCUUCGGCACAAGAGUUCAAGGUUUGUUAGCUCUCUAUCCGUUCAUACAUGUUUCCGAGGCUAGACGAGCCAUCCAAUAAAGAUCGCCAUAACCACCACGCGAUAUCGAUGCGCGUAAAUCAAAAA